ensembl:snRNA U6 U6 spliceosomal RNA
GUGCUUGUUUCUGUAGCACAUAUACUGAAAUUGUAAUUAUACAGAGAAGUUUGCAUGGCCCCUGUACAAGGAUAACAGGAAAAUUCGAGUAGUAGUCCAUAUUGUU